rnacentral:lncRNA from 1 species
ACUGCCGCUUACACGUCCUCUGCGUUGCCAGGUGAAGAUGACCUUGGACUUCUGAUCGCUUCCUCCAGACAGCAGGGAUCACAGGUGUGCCUUACCUGUGACCCUCAGCUCCGCUUAUGUCGUGCUAAGGAUGAAGCCAAGGGCUCUGCAGAUGCUAGGCCUCUUUGAAAUCCAUCUGCCCAACAGUUGCAAGCCCCAGCUGCUGCCUUGAGGCUUCAGGCGGUGGGGAGAGAAUCAAUUAUCCGACCUCAGCCGCUGCAGCCUGUGCCCCAGCCACGCCUAUGAAGCUGCGCUUAAUGUGGACCUAAGCACUCCAACAACUGCCUUUUGCCCGUGGUCCCCACCUGGCAACGCGAUAAACAUGGUCUCCGCUAUCAGGAGAGUUUAGCAACACCGGAGAUAGGGACCAGCAUGCACUGCACCUUCCGUGUCAGACGCCUUGUGCACAAGUCAAGACGGGAAGCCCCAGCAUCAAGUGUCUGCCGCCACUUCUGCUGCCUGCUGCCUGCUGCCAUGCUUCCCCGCCAGGAUAGACUCUGACCUGCAGGAAUUAUCAGCCCCAAAACAAACCUUUUCUUCUAUAAGUCACCUUGUUCAUGUGUUUAUGACAAUGCCGGAAAGGUAAUAAAUACCUCAGAAAAAACAACCAUCACAAUUCCAAGUUCAUGUUCUGUGGGCAUGGAAAACAAGCCUUUCAACAGCCUGCCCCUGUGCAUCCGAGUGACUGGCAGAUUAAAGCCCUGUGCUCUUUGACAAAUCCGUUGGCCUACCCUACCAUGUUAUUUAUAAAAUUGUGAUACGCCCUAAGGAAAGACAUAAUGAUAAAGAGCUGUCACGGAUCUGAUUGGCUGAGGCUACCUGGGCAAGCCACAGGUUCAUUCUUC